UGACGGUCAAAUCACGCUGAAAACACCGGUUCUCGUUCGAUCACCGAAGUUAAGCAUCGUAGAGCCAGGUCAGUACUUAGAUGGGGGACCGCUUGGGAACACCUGGUACUGUAAG
rnacentral:rRNA from 1 species